rnacentral:tRNA from 1 species
UCCCUGGUGGCUCAAACGGUAAAGCGUCUGUCUGCAAUACAGGGAAUCCAGGUUUGAUCCCUGGGUUGGGAA